CGCGUAGGCGGCCUGAUCAAGUCGGGUGUGAAAUCCCUCGGCUCAACCGAGGAAUUGCACCUGAUACUGGUUGGCUAGAGUCCGGGAGAGGGUAGCGGAAUUCCCAGUGUAGCGGUGAAAUGCGUAGAUAUUGGGAAGAACACCGGUGGCGAAGGCGGCUACCUGGACCGGUACUGACGCUGAGGCGCGAAAGCCAGGGGAGCGAAUG
rnacentral:rRNA from 1 species